GACGAACGCUGGCGGCGUGCUUAACACAUGCAAGUCGAACGGAAAGGCCCUGCUUUUGUGGGGUGCUCGAGUGGCGAACGGGUGAGUAACACGUGAGUAACCUACCCUUGACUUGGGGAUAACUUCAGGAAACUGGGGCUAAUACCGGAUAGGAGCUCCUGCUGCAUGGUGGGGGUUGGAAAGUUUCGGCGGUUGGGGAUGGACUCGCGGCUUAUCAGCUUGUUGGUGGGGUAGUGGCUUACCAAGGCUUUGACGGGUAGCCGGCCUGAGAGGGUGACCGGCCACAUUGGGACUGAGAUACGGCCCAGACUCCUACGGGAGGCAGCAGUGGGGAAUAUUGCACAAUGGGCGGAAGCCUGAUGCAGCAACGCCGCGUGCGGGAUGACGGCCUUCGGGUUGUAAACCGCUUUCGCCUGUGACGAAGCGUGAGUGACGGUAAUGGGUAAAGAAGCACCGGCUAACUACGUG
rnacentral:rRNA from 1 species